UACACAUGCAAGUCGAGCGGUAACAUUUCUAGCUUGCUAGAAGAUGACGAGCGGCGGACGGGUGAGUAACGCGUAGGAAUCUGCCUAGUAGUGGGGGACAACAUGUGGAAACGCAUGCUAAUACCGCAUACGCCCUACGGGGGAAAGGAGGGGAUCUUCGGACCUUUCGCUAUUAGAUGAGCCUGCGUGAGAUUAGCUAGUUGGUGGGGUAAAGGCCUACCAAGGCGACGAUCUCUAGCUGGUCUGAGAGGAUGAUCAGCCACACUGGGACUGAGACACGGCCCAGACUCCUACGGGAGGCAGCAGUGGGGAAUAUUGGACAAUGGGCGCAAGCCUGAUCCAGCCAUGCCGCGUGUGUGAAGAAGGCCUUAGGGUUGUAAAGCACUUUCAGGAGUGAGGAAGGGCGUAUAGUUAAUACCUGUAUGUUUUGACGUUAACUCCAGAAGAAGCACCGGCUAACUCUGUGCCAGCAGCCGCGGUAAUACAGAGGGUGCGAGCGUCAAUCGGAAUUACUGGGCG
rnacentral:rRNA from 1 species